AAUCACUGGGCUUAAAGGGUGCGCAGGCGGACAAGUAAGCAUCUCGUGAAAUCCCCCGGCUCAACCGGGGAACUGCGUGGUGAACUGCUUGUCUUGAGGCAGGUAGAGGCCGUCGGAACGUUCGGUGGAGCGGUGAAAUGCGUAGAUAUCGAACGGAACGCCAAAGGUGAAGACAGGCGGCUGGGCCUGACCUGACGCUCAGGCACGAAAGCGUGGGGAUCAAACAGGAUUAGAUACCCUGGUAGUCCACGCCGUAAACGUUGCGCACUGGAUCGAUGCGGGUCUGACCCCGUGUCGGUCGGAGAGAAAUUGUUAAGUGCGCCGCCUGGGGAGUACGGUCGCAAGGCUAAAACUCAAAGGAAUUGACGGGGGCUCACACAAGCGGUGGAGCAUGUUGCUUAAUUCGAAGCAACGCGAAGAACCUUACCUGGGCUUGACAUGCACGGAUUAGUCGUUGGAAACAUCGAUGACGCCCUCGGGUGGAACGUGCACAGGUGCUGCAUGGCUGUCGUCAGCUCGUGCUGUGAAGUGUCGGGUUAAGUCCCUUAACGAGCGCANACCUUGUCGCUAGUUGCCAGCGCGUAAAUGGUCGGGGACUCUAGCGAGACUGCCGGUGUCAAACCGGAGGAAGGUGGGGAUUACUUCAAGUCAUCAUGGCCCUUAUGUCCAGGGUGGCAAACGUGUUACAAUGG
rnacentral:rRNA from 1 species